rnacentral:tRNA from 1 species
GCCCCCGUAGCUCAACUAGGUAGAGCAACGGACUUUUAAUCCGGUGGUUGCAGGUUCAAUUCCUGCCGGGGGCA